CUAUGCGCCUUGCCAGCCCGCUCAGGUGUGCCAGCGCCGCGGUAAUACGUAGGGGGCAAGCGUUAUCCGGAUUUACUGGGUGUAAAGGGAGCGUAGACGGCAGGGCAAGUCUGGAGUGAAAGGCGGGGGCUCAACCCCGGACUGCUCUGGAAACUGCCAGGCUGGAGUGCAGGAGAGGUAAGUGGAAUUCCUAGUGUAGCGGUGAAAUGCGUAGAUAUUAGGAGGAACACCAGUGGCGAAGGCGGCCUGCUGGACUGUAACUGACGUUGAGGCUCGAAGGCGUGGGGAGCAAACAGG
rnacentral:rRNA from 1 species